ensembl:snoRNA U3 Small nucleolar RNA U3
AAGAAUAUACUUUCAGGGAUCAUUUCUACAGUCCAUUGCUCGAGAAGUUUCUCUGGCUGUGUGGAGCACGGAGACCGCGGGGAGGAGGCGCAGCGUUCUCUCCUCAGCGUGAGGUGGCACUUGGUGUCGCUUUCCUGAAACUGCCACUUGCCACGGACGGUGGUUCCUGCUCUCCUUCGAGGAGCUGGAGGGAGAGGACACAGACUGAGUGGA